UGCAUUUCUUUCGUCCCCCUGCAUUUCUCCCUUAACUCCCGUUCCCUGCUUUUCUGUCCUAUCACAAUGGGUGGUGGUGGGUGUGGGUGUGGGGGGGGUGGUAACUAUGUGUCUCUUCUGUGGAGUAUUACUGUGCCACAGCCCACUGAUUAUUUGUCAUGAUUUACAAACGCUGUGUUUCAAAGUUACAUUUAUAUGCUUUGCAAUAUUUGACCUGCUUCUAUUUUGUUAAAUAAAGUGUGGUUGAGGUUGAGUAAAAAAA